UUAAUUGCUGCCAAAAAUGCCAUUGCUCAGGCUAACCUUUUGAUACACCCUAUUCCCAUAGCCCAGUUUUAAAUCAGUUAUGGUCCUUGGAUCUUACCUCACUACUUGGAUAACUGUGGCAAUUUUAGAGCUAAUACAUGCAGCAGAAUUCUGACCCUCUGAGAAUGAGCAGUUUUAUUAGACCAAAACCUAUCGAACCUUGUGUCUGUAUUAUGUGGUGACUCUAUUAAUUUGGGUUGGAUCGCAUGGGCUCGUCCCGCCGACGUAUCUUUCAAGUGUCUGCCUUAUCAGUUGUCGAUGGUAGGUUAGUAGCCUACCAUGGUUGUAAUGGGUGAAGGGGAAUCAGGGUUCGAUUCCAGGGAGAGAGCCUGAGAAAUGGCUAACACAUCCAAGGAACGCAGCAGGCACUCAAAUUACUCAUUCCCAGAACGGGAAGGUAGUGAUGAAAAAUAGCAAUACGGGACUCUUUUGAGACCCCGUAUCUGGAAUGAGUGCACUCUAAAUCCUUAAUGAGGAUCAAUUGGAGGGCAAGUCUGGUGAGCUUUUGGGUAAAUGCUUCAGA
rnacentral:ncRNA from 1 species